UCCCUUAGAUGUCCUGGGCCGCACGCGCGUUACACUGAUGCAUUCAACGAGCUUAUAACCUUGGCCGAGAGGCCUGGGCAAUCUUGUUAACGUGCAUCGUGAUAGGGAUAGAUUAUUGAAAUUAUUAAUCUUGAACGAGGAAUUCCUAGUAAACGCAGAUCAUCAAUCUGCAUUGAUUACGUCCCUGCCCUUUGUACACACCGCCCGUCGCACCUACCGAUUGGAUGGUCCGGUGAAGCCUCGGGAUUGUGGUUCUUGCCGCUUUAUUGUGGCGUGACCGCGAGAACUUGUCUAAACCUUAUCAUCUAGAGGAAGGUGAAGUCGUANCA
rnacentral:rRNA from 1 species